GAUGAACGCUGGCGGCGUGCCUAAUACAUGCAAGUCGAGCGAACGGACGAGAAGCUUGCUUCUCUGAUGUUAGCGGCGGACGGGUGAGUAACACGUGUAUAACCUACCUAUAAUACUGGGAUAACUUCGUGAAACCGGAUCUAAUACCGUAUAAUAUUUUUAACCGCAUGGUUCAAAAGUUAAUGACGUUCUUUCUGUCACUUAUAGAUUGUUCCGCGCUGCAUUAGCUAGUUGGUAAGGUAACGGCUUACCAAGGCAACGAUGCAUAUCCGACAUGAGAGGGGGAGCGGCCACACGGGAACUGAGACACGGACCAGAGUCCUACGGGAGGCAGCAGUAGGGAAUCGUCCGCAAUGGGCGAAAGCAUGACGGAGCAACGCCGCGUGAGUGAUGAAGGUCUUCGGAUCGUAAAACUCUGUUAUUAGGGAAGAACAUAUGUGUAAGUAAAUGUGCACAUCGUGACGGUACCUAAUCAGAAAGCCACGGCUAACUACGUG
rnacentral:rRNA from 1 species